GCUGGGUGAAUAGCGAUCGCCUGUGACCCAUGGGGGAGCUAGAUCUGUGUGAAUGGUGGGUCGUGCCUAGGGCUGAUCAGAGAUUGGUCGCCCGUCCCAAGGGGCCACUAGGUCUGGGUGGGAUGAUGGAAGUCGUCGCAUCCGGACAGCUGAAGUCGCGGGCAAAGGCUAAGGCUGGGAACAGAGCAGGCAAUAUCGCGCGGUGGAACCAGUGAGGAUGGAAAGUGGUCGAGAGAGUAGCCUGGGCAAUAAUAACGACAUGCCAAACACAAGGAUCGUU
rnacentral:SRP_RNA from 1 species